rnacentral:rRNA from 1 species
GUACACGCUGUGACUAGCAUAUCAAUAAGCGGAGGAAAAGAAACUAACAAGGAUUCCCUAGUAACGGCGAGUGAAGCGGGAAGAGCUCAAAUUUGAAAUCUUCAAGGUUUUACCUUGACGAAUUGUAGUUUAAAGAAGUGUUUUCUGUUGAAGUUUUGGUAAAAGUUCUUUGGAAUAGGACAUCAUAGAGGGUGAGAAUCCCGUAUAUUGACCAUUGGAUUUGUCAGCUGUGUGAUACACUUUCAAAGAGUCGGAUUGUUUGGGAAUGCAGUCCCAAAAUGGGUAGGUAAAUUUCAUCUAAGGCUAAAUAUUGGCGAGAGACCGAUAGCGAACAAGUACCGUGAGGGAAAGAUGAAAAGAACUUUGAAAAGAGAGUUAAAUAGUACGUGAAAUUGUCAAAAGGGAAGCGUUUAACACCAGUGUUGUUUUCUGAAAAUCAACCUCUGUUAGCUUUAUGCAUGUUUGUUUAGACCUAAUCAGCUAUCUUGCAUGUUCUAUUGUUUGCAGUGGUGCACUUUUCAGUUUACAGGUCAACAUCAGUUUUUUUUACCGUAAAAAAGUUAAAGAAAGGUAGCUCAUGGCUCCGGUCGUGAGUGUUAUAGUCUUUUUCCUAUGCGGUAGGAGAGACUGAGGUCUGCAGUGUAGGCUAUUUGGCUAGAUACUCAGGUGCUAUGUGAUACCAUUUCAUAAACAACUUGUUGAUUAUGUUUUGUCUAUUGCAUACUCACUUGUACUAUCAUACCUACGCUUAGGAUGUUGAACUACUGAGACAUAGA